AGGAGACUGGGGGAAUGUUCAAGAAACCGAAGCUCGGCGCCAAGUCUCAGUCUCAGGAGGGUCUGUGUGUGAACGGCGACCACCCCGGCAGUGCUGAUGAUCUCUCUGAAGUCUUCAAGGGGGAGCGUGGCAGCAAAGCUCCUGAAGAACCCAUUCUUGUCCUCAGUUCAGGACAAAGAAAAAUCUGAUGAGUCGGCAAACGCAGAGGAGAAAACGUCUUCUGCAGAAAAGCACAAGUCCAAACAG